CUGUCCCAGCUGCCACCUAGACUCGGAGCUCCAUCCAAGCCCCCAGCGAAGACAUCCCAGCCAUGGCCAUCCAGAAAAUCUUUGCCCGGGAAAUCCUGGACUCCAGGGGCAACCCCACCGUGGAGGUGGAUCUGUACACAGAUAAGGGCCAAUUUCGAGCAGCUGUGCCCAGUGGGGCUUCCACAGGCAUCUAUGAAGCUCUGGAACUAAGAGAUGGAGACAAAUCCUGCUACCUGGGGAAAGGAGUCCUGAAGGCUGUGGAACACAUCAACAAGACUCUAGGUCCCGCUCUGCUGGAAAAGAAACUAAGCGUUGUGGAUCAAGAAAAAGUUGACAAAUUUAUGAUUGGGCUGGAUGGAACCGAGAAUAAGUCCAAGUUUGGGGCCAAUGCCAUCCUGGGCGUGUCCUUGGCCGUGUGUAAGGCAGGAGCAGCUGAGAAGGGGGUCCCACUCUACCGACACAUCGCAGAUCUCGCAGGGAACCCUGACCUCAUACUCCCAGUGCCUGCUUUCAAUGUGAUCAAUGGGGGUUCCCAUGCUGGAAACAAGCUGGCCAUGCAGGAGUUCAUGAUUCUGCCCGUGGGAGCCAGCUCCUUCAAGGAGGCCAUGCGCAUUGGAGCCGAGGUCUACCACCACCUCAAGGGGGUCAUCAAGUCCAAGUAUGGGAAGGAUGCCACCAACGUGGGUGAUGAGGGCGGCUUUGCACCCAACAUCCUGGAGAACAAUGAGGCCCUGGAGCUGCUGAAGACAGCCAUCCAGGCGGCAGGUUACCCAGACAAGGUGGUGAUCGGGAUGGAUGUGGCAGCCUCUGAGUUCUUUCGCAACGGGAAGUACGAUCUUGACUUCAAGUCACCUGAUGAUCCGCACGGCACAUCACUGGGGAGAAGCUGGGGGAGCUCUGUGCCCAGUGGGCUUCCACAGGCAUCUAUGAAGCUCUGGAACUAAGAGAUGGAGACAAAUCCUGCUACCUGGGGAAAGGAGUCCUGAAGGCUGUGGAACACAUCAACAAGACUCUAGGCCCCGCUCUGCUGGAAAAGAAACUAAGCGUUGUGGAUCAAGAAAAAGUUGACAAAUUUAUGAUUGGGCUGGGUGGAACCGAGAAUAAGUCCAAGUUUGGGGCCAAUGCCAUCCUGGGCGUGUCUUGGCCGUGUGUAAGGCAGGAGCAGCUGAGAAGGGGUCCCACUCUACCGACACAUCGCAGAUCUCGCAGGGAACCCUGA